rnacentral:rRNA from 1 species
UAAUACGUAGGGGGCAAGCGUUGUUCGGAUUUACUGGGCGUAAAGGGCGCGUAGGCGGCGUGGUAAGUCACUUGUGAAAUCUCCGGGCUCAACUCGGAACGGUCAAGUGAUACUGCUGUGCUAGAGUGCGGAAGGGGCUAUUGGAAUUCUCGGUGUAGCGGUGAAAUGCGUAGAUAUCGAGAGGAACACCUGAGGCGAAGGCGGGUAGCUGGGCCGACACUGACGCUGAGGCGCGAAAGCUAGGGGAGCGAACGGGAUUAGAUACCCCGGUAGUCCUAGCCUUAAACGAUGGAUGCUUGGUGUCUGGGGUUUUAUAUUCCCCGGGUGCCGUCGCUAACGCAUUAAGCAUCCCGCCUGGGGAGUACGGUCGCAAGACUG